CAGCCCUCGGAGAGCACAGCUGCGUCCUGCGCCGCCCUUCUCUCGGGCCCGGGCUGGGGAGGCGGAAGACAGAGCAGGCUCGCGAAGGAGCGGGCGCUUCACCGUCCGCACCCCGCAUCGCGAACAAAGGAGCCCGCGUGUGGUCGGACGGCUGCCGGGUUGUGAGCCCCGGUCCAGCCCCUCCAUCUCCCUGCCCUCCUGAUGAGGCCAUGGGCUCUGGCAGUGACUAAGUGGCCGCCCUCUGCCCCCGUGGGUCACUGUCGAGUCUCUACGAGACCUAGCAGCAGCCCAGGCCAGCUCUGGGGAAGCUGCUGCCCCGACCGCCACACCUCUCUGUAGAGGAGCACCGAGCUUCAGAAGCUCCUGCCGGCAGGAGCCCCCGAAUGCUGCACCCAGCCACCCAGCAGAGCCCGUUCAUGGUUGAUCUCCACGACCAGGUGCACCAGGGACCUGUCCCUCUGUCCUACACAGUCACCACAGUGACAACCCAAGGCUUCCCUUUGCCUGCAAGCCAACAUAUCCCUGGCUGCAGUGCCCAGCAGCUCCCAGCAUGCUCCGUGAUGUUCAGUGGGCAGCACUACCCCCUCUGCUGCCUCCCGCCUCCGCAGCUGAUCCAGGCGUGCACCAUGCAGCAGCUCCCCGUGCCCUACCACACCUACCCCCACCUCAUCUCCAGUGACCACUACAUCCUUCACCCCCCACCACCGGCCCCGCCGCCCCAACCUACCCACAUGGCAUCCCUUCCUCACCCCAAAAAAGGUUUUCAAACCCUUGUGGUUCCUGGGGCAGCGGAAUCGGCUCAUGGAUUGUGUCGGCUGCGGUGAGGAUUCCAACAAGCAGCUACUAGGGGGGAAUACACCUUUUCUUUUUAAUCAUUUAAGAAGAUUUAUGAAGCAAUUACUUAGGAUGUUUGUGAUUUGCCGACCUUGCUGUAGAUGCCAUGUUACCAAUGAUCUCCUGUGGUGGGGGCUGGCAUUGUUUACUCUUUAUUUACCAACUUCUGGCCUAGGCAUGACAGUGGGCACCUUCCCCAGCACUGCUGGGCCAGCGCCUGUGUUCUGUGUUAGAAGGUUUAUAUAUAUAUAACUGAACACACACACGCACACAUAUAUAAACACACGUGAUUUGGGGGCCCUGUUCCUUGCACAUCUUACAGUUACCUCAUUUUUCCCAUGUAUGUAUUUGAGAAAAUGCUAAUAUAUAGAGACAAAUGGUUCUUAAAGCUUAAAUGUGUGGUUUUUCCAUCCCAUUGGACUCACAUUGGUUUGUAGCAUUUAUCAUAACUAGUAUGUUGUACUAUAUAUGUGUAUACAUUUAACAUAACUAGUAUGUUGUACUAUAUAUGUGUAUACUGAUUGAAAUUUUUAACAGAUUUGUACUUUUUUUAAAAUGAAAGUUGCUAGUUCUGCUUG
rnacentral:lncRNA from 1 species